GGGACACGUGGUAUCCUGUCUGAAUAUGGGGGGACCAUCCUCCAAGGCUAAAUACUCCUGACUGACCGAUAGUGAACCAGUACCGUGAGGGAAAGGCGAAAAGAACCCCGGCGAGGGGAGUGAAAAAGAACCUGAAACCGUGUACGUACAAGCAGUGGGAGCACCUUCGGGUGUGACUGCGUACCUUUUGUAUAAUGGGUCAGCGACUUAUAUUCUGUAGCAAGGUUAACCGUAUAGGGGAGCCGCAGGGAAACCGAGUCUUAACUGGGCGUUAAGUUGCAGGGUAUAGACCCGAAACCCGGUGAUCUAGCCAUGGGCAGGUUGAAGGUUGGGUAACACUAACUGGAGGACCGAACCGACUAAUGUUGAAAAAUUAGCGGAUGACUUGUGGCUGGGGGUGAAAGGCCAAUCAAACCGGGAGAUAGCUGGUUCUCCCCGAAAGCUAUUUAGGUAGCGCCUCGUGAACUCAUCUUCGGGGGUAGAGCACUGUUUCGGCUAGGGGGUCAUCCCGACUUACCAACCCGAUGCAAACUACGAAUACCGAAGAAUGUUAUCACGGGAGACACACGGCGGGUGCUAACGUCCGUCGUGAAGAGGGAAACAACCCAGACCGCCAGCUAAGGUCCCAAAGUCAUGGUUAAGUGGGAAACGAUGUGGGAAGGCACAGACAGCCAGGAUGUUGGCUUAGAAGCAGCCAUCAUUUAAAGAAAGCGUAAUAGCUCACUGGUCGAGUCGGCCUGCGCGGAAGAUGUAACGGGGCUAAACCAUGCACCGAAGCUGCGGCAGCGACACUAUGUGUUGUUGGGUAGGGGAGCGUUCUGUAAGCCUGCGAAGGUGACCUGUGAGGGUUGCUGGAGGUAUCAGAAGUGCGAAUGCUGACAUAAGUAACGAUAAAGCGGGUGAAAAGCCCGCUCGCCGGAAGACCAAGGGUUCCUGUCCAACGUUAAUCGGGGCAGGGUGAGUCGACCCCUAAGGCGAGGCCGAAAGGCGUAGUCGAUGGGAAACAGGUUAAUAUUCCUGUACUUGGUGUUACUGCGAAGGGGGGACGGAGAAGGCUAUGUUAGCCGGGCGACGGUUGUCCCGGUUUAAGCAUGUAGGCUGGUUGUCCAGGCAAAUCCGGAUAAUCAAGGCUGAGGUGUGAUGACGAGGCACUACGGUGCUGAAGUAACAAAUGCCCUGCUUCCAGGAAAAG
rnacentral:rRNA from 1 species